GGGGCAAGUCAAAUUCUAUCACAACAGACUCGAUGGCUCUUCCUGGGUCAUUCCGGAUUCCGGCAAAGACAUUCAUGCGACAAUUGCCACCACUGCUAGAAAAUUGUGGCUUGACAUAUAUAGGUAUGUCUUUCAACUUUUUUAUCCUUUUAUUUAAUCAUAGAAGAAUGAGGAUAACAGUAUGGAGUGUAUACAAUUGAACCAAAUAAUAUAAAUAAAUUAAAUUAAAUAAUACAUACAAUACCUGUAACUCAUUAGCUUAAACUGCCCGUCUGGAGGCACAAAUGAUAAUGCUUGGGAUGACUCCCAUUGUCGAAGACGAAUACAUGGAUGAAAUCUUACAUCAUUCAGAAUUGAAGGGUUCGUAAAUGUCAUGUUCAUGUCAGGGAAACCAGGGAGACUGGACUUUACUUGAAUUUCACCAUAUACUUCACAUUUCACUAAAUUCCCAUCACUAUAUAAACAUGAAACACAGAUAGUCAGAUACUUCACACUUAUUGAGUUAUUGAUAUAAUCACUCCUUUGACCUAAAAAAAUAUAAUCCAAACCAAAUUAACCUGCUUAUGGUAACGUCAAUCUCCUCCACAAGAUUGAUGUAAACCUCAUUGCUUUUGUACUUAAUGUCAGUAGUUCUCCAAGGAACACAUGACGCUGUUGCAUUUGGAAGAGUGUUACUCACAUUAGAACUUUUCCCAGUUACAACACUUAACAUUUUGCUAACGAUACUUGGUGGUGUUAUCAGCUCUCUUAAGAUAUUAGGUUCUGUUGUAAGAGGAAAACCACUAUCGAUCAUCUCAUCUAAAAGCUGCAGAUUGCAAAAGAUCCAUCAUUCAUUGUGUUAUAUAUAUUCUGCAUCAUCAGCUUUGUGGUCUUGUAUUAAAACCUUUUAAAACAUUCCGUAAUAAGUAUCAGGGAAUAAUAAAAUUUGUAAUGUCCAUUUGACAAAUGACCGCCAAUAUGGUUUGUUCCAAAACUACGAUUUGUUCCCUCAUAUGCUUAUUUAGUUAUAUCAUAUAUAUGUGUGCGCAUGUCUCAAAAAUGAGCCAAAAAAGAUAAGUAAAAAAAGAAAAAAUCAUUGAGGAUAGAGUGGUAGACUUUAAAACAUUAAAACUAAUAAAGAAAAAAAUCGUCAGUUUUUAAAGGAUUUUAAAAUUAAUCAGAUAAUGAAAAACAUAACAAAUCACAAAAUUGAAACAAACCGUGGUAAAUAUAUGACAUAUAUUUGUAGUUUCCUUUAUUUAAAUUGAAUAUAAGUAAUAUAACAUACAGGGCACUUGCCUUCAUUUAAUCAUUUUAUAAUGAGAAAUUUGAAUUGCAUCAAAAAAGUAUACAAUAUGUAGCAUGAUUUGUUAAUUUUUUUAAAAUUCAGGUUUUGGAUGCACAGAUAAAUGUGAAAAGUACCUGAUAGACAAUGACAAAGUUAUCUUUCAUCAAGUCUUCGUUCAGACCUCCCAGAUAAUCUGAAAGAAUAUCUGCC
rnacentral:lncRNA from 1 species